GAUGAACGCUGGCGGCGUGCCUAAUACAUGCAAGUCGAGCGAACAGACGAGGAGCUUGCUCCUUUGACGUUAGCGGCGGACGGGUGAGUAACACGUAGGUAACCUACCUAUAAGACUGGGAUAACUUCGGGAAACCGGAGCUAAUACCGGAUAAUAUUUCGAACCGCAUGGUUCGAUAGUGAAAGUUGGCUUUGCUAUCACUUAUAGAUGGACCUGCGCCGUAUUAGCUAGUUGGUAAGGUAACGGCUUACCAAGGCAACGAUACGUAGCCGACCUGAGAGGGUGAUCGGCCACACUGGAACUGAGACACGGUCCAGACUCCUACGGGAGGCAGCAGUAGGGAAUCUUCCGCAAUGGGCGAAAGCCUGACGGAGCAACGCCGCGUGAGUGAUGAAGGUCUUCGGAUCGUAAAACUCUGUUAUUAGGGAAGAACAAACGUGUAAGUAACUGUGCACGUCUUGACGGUACCUAAUCAGAAAGCCACGGCUAACUACGUG
rnacentral:rRNA from 1 species